rnacentral:rRNA from 1 species
UACGGAGGAUGCAAGCGUUAUCCGGAAUGAUUGGGCGUAAAGCGUCCGCAGGUGGCUGUGUAAGUCUGCUGUCAAAGAGCGAAGCUCAACUUCGUAAAGGCAGUGGAAACUACAUGGCUAGAGUGCGUUCGGGGCAGAGGGAAUUCCUGGUGUAGCGGUGAAAUGCGUAGAUAUCAGGAAGAACACCGGUGGCGAAAGCGCUCUGCUAGGCCGCAACUGACACUGAGGGACGAAAGCUAGGGGAGCGAAUGGG